rnacentral:rRNA from 1 species
UACGUAGGGGGCAAGCGUUGUCCGGAUUUAUUGGGCGUAAAGAGCGUGUAGGCGGCUUGGCAAGUCUGACGUGAAAUCCCGCGGCUCAACCGCGGUAGGUCGUUUGGAAACUGCCUCGCUAGAGUCCGGAAGAGGAGAGCGGAAUUCCUGGUGUAGCGGUGGAAUGCGCAGAUAUCAGGAAGAACACCCGUGGCGAAGGCGGCUCUCGUGGGACGGUACUGACGCUGAGACGCGAAAGCGUGGGGAGCGAACAGG